CAGCAGGGACGUUGGUCCAGCCUGGCCCUCCCAGGCCAGCCCAGGGAUUUACGCUCUGCCCUGGCUCUGCAAGCCCUUUGUGAGUCUCUGGUGGCCAGCUCAGAAUGACCAAAGCAGGGCGGGCUUUCUAUGGUCAUUUCUUUACCGCACAUGACAUAAACCACCCGAGAGCCCCAGUGAAUGGCAGCAGGAGAAAUGAACAUCUUUGGGAAAGUUUGAUGGAAAGCCAGCCCGUAGACCCGUGAGAGAGACAGGAUUCACUUUUGGCACUCUCGCCUGGCUCAGCCACCUGGAAUCAAGGAAGACAGCACAGUGCUGACCCCACGCUCCUGCCAAUGCUCACUUCCUCCCCUGGGGUCAUUUCCCAGGAGCAGAGCUGCAGGCCGGGGCCUCUGUCUGCCUGUGGUAGGCGCCCACACUCAUUCUCAUCUGGUUCCUUGUAAGUCUUCUAUUGCAAAAUCUUCUCAGGACUUGGAGACAUGCUAUUCUCGGUUUCCCCAAUAACAAAAUGAAAGUGCAAAGGUGCCGCAUCAGCAGGUGGGCCGUGGACUUCGCACCUGGGUGACGGUGAACCUGCCUCCAAAAUUGCCAUGGGUCCAAAGAGGCGCCAUUCCUGGCAAAACUGAUGACAUUUAUGAAUUUUAUUUCUGGUUGCAACCUGAUUUUGUUAUGGACCUAUACUGACGUCA
rnacentral:lncRNA from 1 species